UGGAUGACACAGUGUAGAUGUUGUAGUGGUGGGGGAAGGAAAGGUCCAUCUGGAUUACACAGUGUAGAUGUUGUGGUGGUUGGAAGGAAAGUUCCAUCUGGAUUACAUAGUGUAGAUGUUGUGGUGGUGGGGGAAGGAAAGUUCCAUCUGGAUUACACAGUGUAGAUGUUGUGGUGGUGGGGGAAGGAAAGUUCCAUCUGGAUUACAUAGUGUAGAUGUUGUGGUGGUGGGAAGGAAAGGUCCAUCUGGAUUACACAGUGUAGAUGUUGUGGUGGUGGGGGAAGGAAAGUUCCAUCUGGAUUACACAGUGUAGAUGUUGUGGUGGUGGGGGAAGGAAAGUUCCAUCUGGAUUACAUAGUGUAGAUGUUGUGGUGGUGGGGGAAGGAAAGUUCCAUCUGGAUGACACAGUGUAGAUGUUGUGGUGGUGGGGGAAGGAAAGUUCCAUCUGGAUGACACAGUGUAGAUGUUGUGGUGGUGGGAAGGAAAGUUCCACCUGGAUUACAUAGUGUAGAUGUUGUGGUGGUGGGGGAAGGAAAGGUCCAUCUGGAUGACACAGUGUAGAUGUUGUGGUGGUGGGGGAAGGAAAGUUCCAUCUGGAUGACACAGUGUAGAUGUUGUGGUGGUGGGGGAAGGAAAGUUCCAUCUGGAUUACAUAGUGUAGAUGUUGUGGUGGUGGGGGAAGGAAAGUUCCAUCUGGAUGACACAGUGUAGAUGUUGUGGUGGUGGGGGAAGGAAAGUUCCAUCUGGAUGACACAGUGUAGAUGUUGUGGUGGUGGGAAGGAAAGUUCCAUCUGGAUGACACAGUGUAGAUGUUGUGGUGGUGGGGGAAGGAAAGGUCCAUCUGGAUGACACAGUGUAGAUGUUGUGGUGGUGGGGGAAGGAAAGUUCCAUCUGGAUGACACAGUGUAGAUGUUGUGGUGGUGGGGGAAGGAAAGUUCCAUCUGGAUGACACAGUGAAGAUGUUGUGGUGGUGGGAAGGAAAGGUCCAUCUGGAUGACACAGUGUAGAUGUUGUGGUGGUGGGGGAAGGAAAGGUCCAUCUGGAUUACACAGUGUAGAUGUUGUGGUGGUGGGGGAAGGAAAGUUCAAUCUGGAUGACACAGUGUAGAUGUUGUGGUGGUGGGGGAAGGAAAGGUCCAUCUGGAUGACACAGUGUAGAUGUUGUGGUGGUGGGGGAAGGAAAGUUCCAUCUGGAUGACACAGUGUAGAUGUUGUGGUGGUGGGGGAAGGA
rnacentral:lncRNA from 1 species